CCAGAAUACGCGGGGCUGCGUGCUCCCACC
rnacentral:sRNA from 1 species